AUUAUAUGGGACUUUUUCUUUAUUCUGUUAGUGUAAUAUGUCAAUUGAUUUUUGUAUGUUGACUCAUCCUUGCAUUCUGCGAAUAGAUCUCACUUGGUCAUUAUAUUAUCCUUUUGAUAUGCUGCUGAACUCAAUUUGCUAGUAUUUUGUACAGGACUUUUGCAUCAGGUACUUUAAGUGGAGGGACCAAUUCUCUGAGGGUCCUAAUCUGCUAUUUUCUGUGACAUUACUACUGGCCUAACAGGCUCAGAGACUUUAGUGACUUGGCCACUGUUGCAGAAUUAUAAUCUCAUCUAGGAGUCAAAUUGAUCACUUCUGGCUUCUAACAGUGAUUUUCCAAUUAGGGGGAAAUACUUCAGUGUGUACCUUAAUUUCUUCUAGUGGUUAAAAUAGUUUAAUCACUGAAUGUCGUUACUUUAAUGCAUGGGCCCAAGAGAACAAAAAGGGACUAAAGAAUACAUUUGCUCAAAAUUAAUACUGCAGCAUUUGCCUCAGAUGCUCUGAGGUUGACUUAUACAAUAGAUUAGUUAUUUCCUGUUUGUUCAAAGUUGGGGGCCUUGAGGCCCUUUUCAUUUUUAAAUAUCUUUAUAUGUGUUCAGCAAAGUAUAGUUUCCUUAAAAACUUUGGGUUUCCUAUAAAACUGACUGGAGUUCUCUAAAAGUUAAGUCGUAAUUCACACAGACCUCUCUGGAAGGCUAGUGUACUAUGGGAAAACAAGAUUCCCAGGAGCACCUUUUGUCUACAUAAGAAGGUCUGUUAGGUUUAUGACUUAAAUCUGAAGUCAUAGCAAAGGGCAUAACAGCCACAGGCUUGAUUCUAUCCUUACCCUGAAACACUGUCUUUUGAGAAUUUUCAACUUGCUGCAGAGACUGGAUCCAACCCAGCAGAACAGAUUCUCUGUUUCAUCUCUGUCUUCCCAUGCCUUACUAUACAGAGCCAAAAUAAGCCAAUUGAUGCUUUGAACAUUUCCUGGAAACCACCUUAGCCAGAAUCACAACUUCAGAGUUUUGCCAGUUGUUUGCCACCACAAGACACAAGUUCCUGUCUUUCCAGCUUUCAGUAGCGGUUUCUUUACUUUUCCAGCCUCUGUUAGUACAAUUUUGUUCACUAUUACAGCCUUUGUGAGGCAGUGUCAUGUGUUCUAAGUUUUUGUUAGGGCAGCAGUUUCACUGUUGGUGCUAAUUUCUGUAUCAGGUGUAUGUUGUGUAACUGUUCAUUCCUACACUUGCUGGCUUAAAAUAACCAUUUGCACAUGUGACUGCAAUCAUGUCUGGAACGGAUGCCUUGGUUCCUUCUGAGCCUCUAUCAAAAUGCCUGGGGUUUCUUAAACAGUGGAAGCAAAAGAAGCUUGGAAGUCAUGUCACUUGGUCAAAAAUUUCAAAAAUUGAGUUGAGUCAGUGACAGCGCAAGAGCACCAUCAUCUUGGACAAACACUGUCACUUUAAGUUCCAGCUCCCUUUCUAGCCUCAUGUAUUUUAAGGAAAUCACUUCUCUUCUAACUACAAGUAGCCAGAAAGAGCAGACAGUAAAACACAGCAUCCUGUUUUUUUGCCUGUCGCAUUAGGCUAUGAGUCCAGGAAGGCAGGAACAGCAGCUGGCAAAGGUGUCCAAUUUCUUCAGCAUCAUUUUCGGCAAAGACUACCGUGCAUCUAAUAAAUUAUCUUUGUUUCUUUAUGAUGGUAUUGGCAAGCAUUUUGUAAUGAAGAUACAAUGACAAUCUGUUAAACCCCCUUUUUUUUUUUGAGACCAAGUCUCACUCUGUCACCAGGCUAGA